rnacentral:rRNA from 1 species
UGGGGAAUCUUGCACAAUGGGCGGAAGCCUGAUGCAGCGACGCCGCGUGGGGGAUGACGGCCUUCGGGUUGUAAACUCCUUUCGCCAGGGACGAAGCCGUGAGGUGACGGUACCUGGAUAAGAAGCACCGGCUAACUACGUGCCAGCAGCCGCGGUAAUACGUAGGGUGCGAGCGUUGUCCGGAAUUACUGGGCGUAAAGAGCUCGUAGGUGGUUUGUCGCAUCGUCUGUGAAAUUCCGGGGCUUAACUCCGGGCGUGCAGGCGAUACGGGCAUAACUUGAGUGCUGUAGGGGAGACUGGAAUUCCUGGUGUAGCGGUGAAAUGCGCAGAUAUCAGGAGGAACACCGAUGGCGAAGGCAGGUCUCUGGGCAGUAACUGACGCUGAGGAGCGAAAGCAUGGGUAGCGAACAGG